rnacentral:rRNA from 1 species
UGAGGAAUAUUGGUCAAUGGACGUAAGUCUGAACCAGCCAAGUAGCGUGCAGGAUGACGGCCCUAUGGGUUGUAAACUGCUUUUAUGUGGGAAUAAAGUCAGGGACGUGUCCCUGUUUGCAUGUACCACAGGAAUAAGGACCGGCUAAUUCCGUGCCAGCAGCCGCGGUAAUACGGAAGGUCCGGGCGUUAUCCGGAUUCAUUGGGUUUAAAGGGAGCGUAGGCCGCCCCUUAAGCGUGUUGUGAAAUGCCGCGGCUCAACCGUGGCACUGCAGCGCGAACUGGGGGGCUUGAGUGCGCGCAGCGAAGGCGGAAUUCGUGGUGUAGCGGUGAAA